rnacentral:rRNA from 1 species
GUGCCAGCCGCCGCGGUAAGACAGAGGGGGCAAGCGUUGUCCGGACUGACUGGGCGUAAAGCGCGCGCAGGCGGUCUGAGGCGUCGGUGCUUAAAGUCCACCGCUUAACGGUGGGAAAGGUGCCGAUACGCUCAGACUGGAGGGCGGGCGAGGGUGGUGGAAUUGCCGGUGUAGUGGUGAAAUGCGUAGAGAUCGGCAGGAACACCAGUGGCGAAGGCGGCCACCUAGCCCGCACCUGACGCUGAGGCGCGACAGCGUGGGGAGCGAACUGGAUUAGAUACCCCUGUAGUCC